rnacentral:lncRNA from 1 species
CCCUGUCUCAAAAAAAGAAAGAAAUAAACAAAGAUAGAGGUGGGAGGAUUGCUUGAGCAUGGGAGUCAGAGGCUGCAGUGAGCUAUGACGACACCUCUGCACUUUGGCCUGGGCUACAGAGUGAGACCCUGUCUCAAAAAAGAAUCUAUCUAUCCAUCUAUCUAGCUAGCUAGCUAGCUAGCUACGUACACACACUCACAUACACUUCCCAUGUCAAGGUUUGUCUGCAGAGGGAGCUUCACCCACCCAUCUUCCUAGCUUAUCUUUCCAGCUCUCCCUGUCCUGUCCUGGACCUCUGGGCCUUUCCCCAGGACCUUCUCCCCUACCUUUUGUGUUUGAGAGAGUCUCGCUCUGUCACCCAGGCUGGAGUACAGUGUCACAAUCUUGGCUCACUGCAACCUCUGCUUCCCGGGUUCAAGUGAUUCUCCCACCUCAGCCUCCCGAGUAGCUGGGACUGUAGGCGCCUGCCACUACACCUGGCUAAUUUCUUUUGUAUUGU